rnacentral:pre_miRNA from 1 species
UUUAGAAUUCCUACGCUUUACCGUGAUUUGUUGAAAGUUUGGCAAAGCGUUUGGGUUCUGAAAC